rnacentral:rRNA from 1 species
UACGUAGGGGGCUAGCGUUGUCCGGAAUCAUUGGGCGUAAAGCGCGUGUAGGCGGUCCGGUAAGUCGGCUGUGAAAGUCCAGGGCUCAACCCUGGGAUGCCGGUCGAUACCGCCGGACUAGAGUUCGGAAGAGGCGAGUGGAAUUCCCGGUGUAGCGGUGAAAUGCGCAGAUAUCGGGAGGAACACCAAUGGCGAAGGCAGCUCGCUGGGACGUUACUGACGCUGAGACGCGAAAGCGUGGGGAGCAAACAGG